UGGGAACACUAUCACUUACAC
rnacentral:siRNA from 1 species